ACGGCUCAGUAACACGUGGACAACGUGCCCUUAAGUGGAGAAUAACCUCGGGAAAUUGAGGAUAAUACUCCAUAGAUCAUGGAAUCUGGAACGAUUCAUGGUUCAAAGUUCCGGCGCUUAAGGAUCGGUCUGCGGCCUAUCAGGUAGUAGUGGUGUAAACGUACCUACUAGCCUAUGACGGGUAUGGGCCUUGAGAGAGGGAGCCCAGAGUUGGAUUCUGAGACACGAAUCCAGGCCCUACGGGGCGCAGCAGUCGCGAAAACUUCACAAUGGGCGCAAGCCCGAUGAGGGAACUCCUAGUGCUAGCACUUUUGUGUUAGCUUUUCUUUAGCAUAGAUAACUAAAGGAAUAAGGGCUGGGUAAGACGGGUGCCAGCAGCCGCGGUAAUAC
rnacentral:rRNA from 1 species